rnacentral:tRNA from 1 species
GAGGGUAUAGAUCAGGGGUAGAGCUUGUGCUUAACAUGCACAAGGUCCUGGGUUCAAUCCCCAGUACCUCCA